UGUGUAGAGUUACAGCUGUCAAGAAUCUAACCUGGAGAGCAGAGAAUAGAAGGGGUUGUGUUUCAAAGGACCAUGGAAUCAUUAGAAUUCUUGGAGUUGGAAGGGAUCUUUAAAGGUCGUCUUGUCCAACUCUCCUCCACAAUGAACAUGGACACCACAGCUAGAUCAGGUUGCCCAGGGCCUGAUCUGGUCUUACCUUCGAAGUCUCCAGGGACAGAGCAUUCACAGCAUGUCUGGGUAACCUGUCUCAGUGCCUCACCACCAUCACUGUAAAAGACCUUUCUUGAUAUGCAGAUAUGAAAUGCAGCUAAUGCUUGCUCUGAAAGGGACGGCUCAAUAAUAUCUGAGAAAUUUACUGGCUCCAGAUGUUCUUUGCAACAACAUUAUUUCUCCUGCCUAGGAGAAAAAAAAAACAAGGAAUGAUCCAGAGGAACCGUUGUUCUUCAGAUUUUCAGUUGUUCAAUAUGAUAUGUAAUAUGAAUGGCCCCUUCUAAGGGCUCACUAAAAUAAGGAAUAGCCUUGCACAGAAGAGUUGCUGAUUAUUAUUUGAAUGAAAGCCAAGUCACAGAGGAAAAGAAAUCUAGUUAGAUAAAAUAAUUUAGAGAUUAGUACUUUUCUACAUGUACGCUCUGCUUUAAGGAUAGAAUACAUUUUGAGAAUCAUGUUUCUAGCAGAAGCCUAUGACUUUAUCAGAAUGGUUCCAAUUCUGCUCAUGUCAGAUCUUUCUACAAGCACUGCUGUCUGGAAACUAUAUUUGUUUUGUACAGCAAGCUAGCUUUAAAAGGCCUUUUUCAUUCCCAAGGAUCAAUAUGAGCUACUUGGUUCUUUGUAGAAUUUUUUAUGAAGUAUUCCUAACCAAGGGCUUCAAAGUACCUCUAAUUUAAACUGCUGACUUGCAACUGCAGCUUGUUUUUACUCGGGAAUUUUCCCUUUUUCUAACACUAUUUUUGUAGCAAAGUAAAUCUGUUCUUUCUGGAAAUAGCUGUUUAAACUUGCAGUUCUGUGCAGUUCUUCUCUUUUGCUACACUUAAGUUAAAUCUGUAAUGUUUAUUUUGGAAAUGAGUACAUAGACCUAAGCACUAUUUUUGAUGGUUAUUGAUAUCAACUUUCUUCAAACCUGAAUCAUUAAAGCCACUCCUAC
ensembl:lncRNA